rnacentral:rRNA from 1 species
GUGUCAGCAGCCGCGGUAAUACGGAGGGUGCGAGCGUUAUCCGGAUUUACUGGGUUUAAAGGGUGUGUAGGCGGGCUAUUAAGUCAGCGGUGAAAUACCAGGGCUCAACCCUGGAACUGCCAUUGAUACUAUUAGUCUUGAAUACUGUGGAGGUGAGCGGAAUGUGUCAUGUAGCGGUGAAAUGCAUAGAGAUGACACAGAACACCGAUUGCGAAGGCAGCUCACUACAGAGUCAUUGACGCUGAGGCACGAAAGCGUGGGGAUCAAACAGGAUUAGAUACCCUGGUAGUCCACGCCCUAAACGAUGAUUACUCGACAUUUGCGAUAUACAGUGAGUGUCUGAGCGAAAGCAUUAAGUAAUCCACCUGGGAAGUACGUCCGCAAGGAUGAAACUCAAAUAAAUUGGCGG